rnacentral:rRNA from 1 species
UACAGAGGGUGCGAGCGUUAAUCGGAUUUACUGGGCGUAAAGGGUGCGUAGGCGGUUUUGUGAGUGUGAUGUGAAAGCCCCGGGCUUAACCUGGGAAGUGCAUCGCAAACGACAAGACUGGAGUAUAUGAGAGGGUGGCGGAAUUUCCGGUGUAGCGGUGAAAUGCGUAGAGAUCGGAAGGAACGUCAAUGGCGAAGGCAGCCACCUGGCAUAAUACUGACGCUGAGGCACGAAAGCGUGGGGAGCGAACAGG